UCCGAAGGGAGCUAUCGUUGUUCGGAAUUACUGGGCGUAAAGCGCACGUAGGCGGGCUGAUAAGUCAGGGGUGAAAUCCCGAGGCUCAACCUCGGAACUGCCUUUGAUACUGUUAGUCUUGAGAUCGGGAGAGGUGAGUGGAAUUCCUAGUGUAGAGGUGAAAUUCGUAGAUAUUAGGAAGAACACCAGUGGCGAAGGCGGCUCACUGGCCCGAUACUGACGCUGAGGUGCGAAAGCGUGGGGAGAAAACAGG
rnacentral:rRNA from 1 species